GUACACUCCUACGGGAGGCAGCAGUGGGGAAUUUUGGACAAUGGGCGAAAGCCUGAUCCAGCCAUGCCGCGUGCAGGAUGAAGGCCUUCGGGUUGUAAACUGCUUUUGUACGGAACGAAACGGCCUUUUCUCAUAAAGAGGGCUAAUGACGGUACCGUAAGAAUAAGCACCGGCUAACUACGUGCCAGCAGCCGCGGUAAUACGUAGGGUGCAAGCGUUAAUCGGAAUUACUGGGCGUAAAGCGUGCGCAGGCGGUUAUGUAAGACAGUUGUGAAAUCCCCGGGCUCAACCUGGGAACUGCAUCUGUGACUGCAUAGCUAGAGUACGGUAGAGGGGGAUGGAAUUCCGCGUGUAGCAGUGAAAUGCGUAGAUAUGCGGAGGAACACCGAUGGCGAAGGCAAUCCCCUGGACCUGUACUGACGCUCAUGCACGAAAGCGUGGGGAGCAAACAGGAUUAGAUACCCCGGUAGUCCCAUGA
rnacentral:rRNA from 1 species